GUCAAGCCAAAUGCAUGCACAUGAUGAGUGACAUUGAUCUCUUUCUUUUGAGGAGAAGUCAGGUAUGACAAAGCAGAAAAUGAAACCUAUUAAGUUU